UGCCAGGCCUGCUAUGCUGAGUGGAAUGGUUUGACAUCAUAGUGCGAUAGAUAGAAUACUACGUUUCGAAUAAGAGGACAUAGGUGCUCACUUUGGCAGCACAUAAAAUAAAAUUGGAAUGAUACAGAGAAGAUUAAUGAAGCUCUUGUGCAAGGAUGACAUGAAGAUUUGUGAAGCAAAUGAAAAAACCUGGGUUUGAAUCCAACUUCUGUCAUCUACUUCUGAAACUGAAUUACUUUAGGUUUGCUUCUGUUGAGGAGGCUUGAAGUUCAGCAAUGAUGGCAAAUUCUUCCUUUCUACCAACAAUAACUACCUGACUAACCUACUUGAAGAUGGUAGUAUAAUAAACACUUUGCCUUAGUUCCUGUUUACCCUCACAAGUACGUCACAUUCUCUCUAACUGUCUAUAUCAUCAUGGAAAAUAUUAUUGAUUGUCAUCAUCCUUCUCCGUCUCUUCCUCCUCAACACCCCCAUUUGCUGUGCUUCAUCGUUCUCUUUUAUGGAAUCUCCUAUUUAGAUAGCAAAAUUAGGAGUGCUUCACAUUUGGACAAUAAUAUUAUCAAGAGAAGCAUUAUUACAUUAUUAUCCUAA
ensembl:lncRNA